GGGGAUAGUUCAAUAAAGGGGGAAUGGGGCUCUAGAUGCUGCUCGAGCGGCCGCCAGUGGGAGGGAAUCUGAGAUUUCUCCCUUCUGGGCUAAAUAUUGAGUCGAGAGGAAUUUAAUCAAACGUGGUUACGGGUAUGAAAGAUGAAUCGAGCGGCCCUUUGGCCAGUAAUAUCACAAAAAAACUUCUGCUGUGACCGAGUAACUCUUGACGGAAAAAACUUUGCAGACCAUUGUCUGAGCCUGAAAUUGAGUAAAUUGUUGGGGGCUCAAGGGACGCCAAAGACUGUGAUCUUAGCUGAUUUGAGAGGAUUAGCCUCCCCAUGAGGACUGACCACGGCCCACUCAGAUACUGAAGGCAGAAGUGGGAUUCGUGGUGUAUGGUGGAAACUCUGAUGCAGCAGUGCCGCGUGAGUGAAGAAACCUUUGGGAUGUAAGGCUCUUUCGUCCGUGAAUAAAUGAAUGUACCCAAAUGAAAAGGCUCGGAUAACUUCGUGCCAUCAUGCGCGUAAUAAAAACGGACCUAACGAUUUAGCAAUAACUGACCUGGCUGAGAUAGUACGGGGUUCAAUGGAUAUAUGGCGAAGUCGAGACUUUCUUAGGGAUUUGCCUUACAACUUUUCAGCUAGAGUAAGAUAAAAUAAGCGAAAAUAUCCAGGGGUAGUGUUGAUAUUCCGAAUAUAUUGGGAGUUAAUACCAAUUU
rnacentral:rRNA from 1 species